GGGGCUGUAGCUCAGAGGCGGAGCAUCUGCUUUGCAUGCAGAAUGCCCCAGGUUCAAUCCCCAAUGGUGUCUCA